GCCAGAAUCACCUGAUCUGGCAACAGUUUGAGGUUGCUGGGCUAAGGGUUGAACAGUAGAUUGUGCAACUAGUGUCUGAGAUACAUUAAUUCCAGGAUAAGAGCUAUUGGAAGAAUGUGCUGGCGCAACAGCAAUGUGCUGGUCCUGAGGGAUGUUGUAAAAAUAAUUGGUCUGAAGCAUUGAUUGAUCACGUCCAGGUGCAGAGUUUCUGUAAUGGGAAUCUUCAUUCUGCUUGUGCAUGGAAUAGACAUUCU
rnacentral:misc_RNA from 1 species